UACGUAGGGACCAAGCGUUGUUCGGAUUUACUGGGCGUAAAGGGCGCGUAGGCGGUUCGUCGCGUCGGCUGUGAAAACCUGAGGCUCAACCUCAGGCCUGCAGUCGAUACGGGCGGACUUGAGUACUGCAGGGGAGACUGGAAUUCCUGGUGUAGCGGUGAAAUGCGCAGAUAUCAGGAGGAACACCGGUGGCGAAGGCGGGUCUCUGGGCAGUAACUGACGCUGAGGAGCGAAAGCGUGGGGAGCGAACAGG
rnacentral:rRNA from 1 species